GACGAACGCUGGCGGCGUGCUUAACGCAUGCUAGUCGAACGGAAAGGCCCUGCUUUUGUGGGGUGCUCGAGUGGCGAACGGGUGAGUAACACGUGAGUAACCUGCCCUUGACUUUGGGAUAACUUCAGGAAACUGGGGCUAAUACCGGAUAGGAGCUCCUGCUGCAUGGUGGGGGUUGGAAAGUUUCGGCGGUUGGGGAUGGACUCGCGGCUUAUCAGCUUGUUGGUGGGGUAGUGGCUUACCAAGGCUUUGACGGGUAGCCGGCCUGAGAGGGUGACCGGCCACAUUGGGACUGAGAUACGGCCCAGACUCCUACGGGAGGCAGCAGUGGGGAAUAUUGCACAAUGGGCGGAAGCCUGAUGCAGCAACGCCGCGUGCGGGAUGACGGCCUUCGGGUUGUAAACCGCUUUCGCCUGUGACGAAGCGUGAGUGACGGUAAUGGGUAAAGAAGCACCGGCUAACUACGUGCCAGCAGCCGCGGUGAUACGUAGGGUGCGAGCGUUGUCCGGAUUUAUUGGGCGUAAAGGGCUCGUAGGUGGUUGAUCGCGUCGGAAGUGUAAUCUUGGGGCUUAACCCUGAGCGUGCUUUCGAUACGGGUUGACUUGAGGAAGGUAGGGGAGAAUGGAAUUCCUGGUGGAGCGGUGGAAUGCGCAGAUAUCAGGAGGAACACCAGUGGCGAAGGCGGUUCUCUGGGCCUUUCCUGACGCUGAGGAGCGAAAGCGUGGGGAGCGAACAGGCUUAGAUACCCUGGUAGUCCACGCUGUAAACGGUGGGUACUAGGUGUGGGGUCCAUUCCACGGGUUCCGUGCCGUAGCUAACGCUUUAAGUACCCCGCCUGGGGAGUACGGCCGCAAGGCUAAAACUCAAAGGAAUUGACGGGGCCCCGCACAAGCGGCGGAGCAUGCGGAUUAAUUCGAUGCAACGCGUAGAACCUUACCUGGGUUUGACAUGGAUCGGGAGUGCUCAGAGAUGGGUGUGCCUCUUUUGGGGUCGGUUCACAGGUGGUGCAUGGCUGUCGUCAGCUCGUGUCGUGAGAUGUUGGGUUAAGUCCCGCAACGAGCGCAACCCUUGUUCACUGUUGCCAGCACGUUAUGGUGGGGACUCAGUGGAGACCGCCGGGGUCAACUCGGAGGAAGGUGGGGAUGACGUCAAGUCAUCAUGCCCCUUAUGUCCAGGGCUUCACGCAUGCUACAAUGGCUGGUACAGAGAGUGGCGAGCCUGUGAGGGUGAGCGAAUCUCGGAAAGCCGGUCUCAGUUCGGAUUGGGGUCUGCAACUCGACCUCAUGAAGUCGGAGUCGCUAGUAAUCGCAGAUCAGCAACGCUGCGGUGAAUACGUUCCCGGG
rnacentral:rRNA from 1 species